UACGGAGGGUGCAAGCGUUAUCCGGAUUCACUGGGCUUAAAGGGUGCGUAGGCGGCUAUAUAAGUCAGUGGUGAAAGCCCGCAGCUCAACUGCGGAAGUGCCAUUGAAACUGCAUAGCUUGAAUCUGGUUGAAGUGGGCGGAAUACAUCAUGUAGCGGUGAAAUGCUUAGAUAUGAUGUAGAACACCGAUUGCGAAGGCAGCUCACUAAGCCAACAUUGACGCUGAGGCACGAAAGCGUGGGUAGCGAACAGG
rnacentral:rRNA from 1 species